UUGAUUUCUUUCAUUUAUUCAAUUCAAUAGUCCAUUGAUUCUCCUUAAUUUAUUCAAAUCCAAAGUCAUGAAUAAUCAUAAAUAUCAAAAGAGAAAAUAUGAGCGUGCGGAAAUCACUCACCUUAAACAUUUCAAGGAAGGUUUGGUUAGGUUCUUUGAUUUACAUUUCUUUAUGUUUCUGAAACCCAAUAAUGAACUUUUGAAAAGUUAAAGAAAACAUAUAGAGGCCCAUGAGCAAAAGCAGAUAUUAUACAACCACCUUUAUUUAUACAAAGGCUCUCAUUCACUCUUCAAAAAGCCCCCAAUUUGAUCCAAUUCCAUCCCUUUUUUCCACUCACUUUUUCUUUUUCCUUGUUAGCUUUUCCACCGUGCCUGUCACUGCUGAGUGUUGACAACCCAUGUGUUCAUCAUUCCCUGCCUCUCGCUUUAAUACCAAAUAUAAGAAGAAUCCCAAGUAGCAUUCAUAUGUAUUUGAUUAACAAUUAAUAAGUACAAAUUAAUUACAUAAUACUUGUUCUAAAUUGCUCUUAGGAUAGUGAUCAUCACUUUAAACUUGAGAGCUAAAAUUUCAGGUGUAGAUUCUACGGGUGCGUUUAUAUUGUAUUUAACAGAUGUUUCUAAUGAUAUUUCUCUUUUUAAUGUUGAAGACGGAUCCCUGCUCCGAUCCCCCUUUGAUACAGAAGAAAAAUAACAUAUUUUUUACUGUAAACGAACUUACAACGGACCGGGAAGCAAGUCUGCUUCUCUUGCAACAGCUCAGUCUUCAUUUUUCUGUCUAAACGUGAAAAGCAUCUCUCUCUCUCUCUCUCUCUCUCGCUCUCUACAUCCAUGGCAACCAACAAGUUUGCAAGCAUGUUGCACAGGAACACUCCCAAGUUGAUUGUAAUUCUAGUCUAUGCUGUUCUUGAAUGGAUUUUGAUAAUACUCCUCCUCCUCAACUCUUUGCUCGGUUACUUGAUCAACAAAUAUGCCAACUACUUCGGCCUGAAACCACCUUGUCCGUUGUGUACUCCUAGAAUCGAAGGCGUCUUGGAACAAGGCAAGAGCUCAAACGACUCUUAUACAGAUGUUGUAUGUCAGAGCCAUGCCACUCAGAUAUCCAAUAUGUUUCACCGUCCUUGUUCCGAACCUUGUUGCGGUUCUUUGGAGUAUGCGCGGAAAGGGAAUUCAGCUGUAGAAGCUGUGGAUGAUGGAAACAAUGGAGGUCAGUAUCAAAGUGCAAAUAAACCCGAUAGCCUGUCAACUCACAGUGACAAUGGCUAUGAGUUGGAGACAACGAAUGAAGAACAUGAGGACGACAGAGUGGCAGACGGGCAACAACUUACAUCGGAUGUUUGCAGUUCUAGCUUCGGAGGCAUUGCAGUGGAAGAUUGUCCAAGGUCUAGAUCAGUAUUGCUAUGUCAAGAAAAUGAUGCAGAUGAAGAUAACAAAGGAGGUUCUCUUGACAUUGCGCGGUCAGAUUCUAACAGCACGAAACUUGUCCAUCGAUCUUCCGAUGCUAGUGCUACUAGCAUUCAGUGUUGCUUUGAAGAAGAUUACUCUCUUGAAAUCAUCCCCCUAUCUUGCGAGAAUGGUUUGAUCUAUGCUCACAAUCAUCGGUUGAUUCCCGUUGAGUUGAUCGAUUUUUCAACUACAGUAGACCAAGUAACCCGCAAUGUAAAAGAGGAGGAGGUGAGAGAGCAUGAUCAUAAAGAGUUAAAUUUCGCUUCUGAGUCAAACAUCGGAUCUGAACGUCAACUCUCCGGAGAAGCAUCAUUAGUACUUGUGGCAAACGAGAGUGCAGUUAACACAGGUAAUGGAGAAGUCGAAAGCUUAGAUAUGUCCAGGGGUGUUACUGAUAACUCUUCUGACGUAGACGCAGAAGAGGGAAAACAAGAUUUGGUUCGCAAGCCAUGUGACGAAGUUGUCACUGCUCCAGGAGCUCAAAUAUUAUUUGUUCGAAUUGAAGAACCCGAUAAGAAAGAACGAAAUGAUCCACCAGCAUCUGAAGAAGAAAGUAUUUUUGCGAACACAGAAGAGUAUGACCGUGCAAGUGAUCACCCUCGGGCUCAAGAAGGUUCUUCUUCGCCGUGCUUUGAAAUUCCCAAUGUACCUGAUACAUUCUCGGCUCAGAGUGAUUACGGUACAAGGCAUGCUGUAGCAGCUACACCGCAAGGAGAAACAAGUAUGCCUGAAAAGGCUCAAGAACGAGAGGAAGAGGAGAUUCCUGACUCACCAACAUCUGUAAACAGUCUUUGUUCCUUGCACAAGAAACCAGAUGAUAAAAUGGAGUCGGCAGUGGAAGAGUAUUUGGAUGGAAGUGCUGUGAGUGAGACAGAAGAGAGGGAUCCUUUUACAACCAUUGGACGGCUCAAAGAAGCGCUGACAGCUGAGCGCAAAUCUCUAAGUUCUUUAUAUGCAGAACUAGAGGAAGAGAGGAGUGCGUCUGCAAUUGCCGCCAACCAGACUAUGGCUAUGAUAACAAGGCUUCAAGAAGAGAAGGCAGCAAUGCAAAUGGAGGCAUUGCAAUACCAGAGGAUGAUGGAAGAACAAUCCGAGUACGACCAGGACGCCUUACAACUUCUGAAUGAUCUGAUGAACAAGAAGGAGAAGGAAAAGCAAGAACUAGAGAGAGAAUUGGAAAUAUAUCAAAAGAAAGUCCAAGAUUAUGAGGAAAAAGAGAAGGCAAGGACCAUGAGCAGAAUUAAAUAUGGAAGUAUAAGAAGUAGGAAUUCUUCUGCUUCUUGCAGCCAGUCAUGGGAUAGUGAUGCGCUAUCGAUUGAUCUUAAUGUUGAAGCGAGGGACGAAGAAAGUGGCUUCGGUGGCCAUCAAGAAAGCAAUGACAAAAACAAUACCACAGACGAUUCAGGUCUGAGUUUGGAAGAUUUGGCUCUGGAUUGUGUUAAAAAUAUGAGUGUUCUUGAUGAAUCACUAGCAGGAUUCGAGGAAGAGAGGCUGUCCAUUCUGGAUCAGCUCAAAGCCUUGGAGGAGAAGCUAAUCACAUUGGGUGCAAAUGAGGAAUUCGCCGAGGACUUUAAGCUAGUUGAGCAUUCCCCAACGUACAGCCUCAAAUACUCCGAAGAGAAUCAUGAUGUUAGCAGUCCAGAAGAAAAUGGGAUAGAUAGAUAUCAUCCCGAGGAAAAGACAUUGGAUUCCAUGGCAAAGAGGCUUCUUCCACUUUUGGAUGCAACUGACAAUGAAAGCGAAGAAGGGUUAACUCAUGAAGAACACGUUGAUCAAUCAGAAUCAAUUGAAAUAAUGCAGAACUCAAUUACCAAUUUCGAAUUGAAUGAUGGAAAAAUAGCCAUUGAAGAGGAGGUGGAUCAUGUAUAUGAGAGGCUACAAGCUCUUGAAGCAGACAGGGAGUUUCUCAAGCACUGCAUGAGCUCCAUGAAGAAGGGAGACAAAGGGGUGGAUCUUCUCCAAGAGAUUUUGCAACAUCUGCGGGAUCUGAGGGUUGUUGAACUCCGCGUCAAGAACAUGAGUGAUCCCGAGGGCGAUGAAGUUGCAGUUGAAUGAUACAAGGAGAAUCCAGUUAAGAGAUGGUACAAAGAUGUUUUUAUGCUUCUUCCGCUUCUAGAUUACCUUCUCUCUUUGCAAAAAAGAUUGCUCUAAUGGUGAUGAGGAAGACCACAGAAACAUAUACAUACGUGUGAUCAAGAAUUUGUUUAAACGCUUGUUGUGGACAGAAAUUACGGAAUUAAUCAAUCAAGGGGAGCAUCUCUUAAAGGAGAGGAGUGAUUCCUUCUUGAGUUUGUUCCACUUGAACUAAGCAUGGCAUAAACAUGCCCUAAAUUUUGCAGUGACUCCUCGUUACUGCAGAACGCAGAUACAUAUACAUCACCUAGCACUAGCACAGGUGAAUGGUGAAAAGUGAAUGGUGAAAGGUGAAUGAUGAAUGGUGAAGAGGGGCAUAAUAUUCUGAGAUUGUUAAUUUCUAGUAUAUAUGUUUAUUAUUUUUGCUUC